CCUACGGGCGGCAGCAGUGGGGAAUUUUGCGCAAUGCUCGUAAGAGUGACGCAGCGACGCCGCGUGAAUGACGAAGGCCUUCGGGUCGUAAAGUUCUUUCGUCAGGGAAGAAAAUGCCUAUAAGUAACUGUGUAUGUAUUGACGGUACCUGUAUAAGCAGCCCCGGCUAACUCCGUGCCAGCAGCCGCGGUAAUACGGAGGGGGCGAGCGUUGUUCGGAGUGACUGGGCGUAAAGAGCACGUAGGCGGUGUUGUAAGUCAUUAGUCAAAGCCUAGAGCUCAACUUUAGUAAGGCUAGUGAUACUAUAAUACUAGAGUAUCGGAGAGGAUUGCAGAAUUCCAGGUGUAGCGGUGGAAUGCGUAGAUAUAAGGAGGAAUACCGUUAGCGAAGGCGGCAAUCUGGCUGGAAACUGACGCUGAGGUGCGAAAGCGUGGGUAGCAAACAGGAUUAGAUACCCUGGUAGUC
rnacentral:rRNA from 1 species